AAGUCAUCUUUUCUGAAGAUUUUGACUUCUCAUAGUUGUUAUUUGUUAUACGAAUGUAGUUGGUGUCCGUAAAGCUCGAGAAAUUGCUGGAAGCUUUCAGUUGCCUAUAAUUGGGGUGCAUCACAUGGAGGCUCAUACUAUAGUAGCGAGGUUGACUCAUAGAAACCUGCAGUUUCCCUUCAUGGAACUGCUUAUUUCAGGAGGACACAAUCUUCUAAUUCUUGCACGUGAUCUGGGAUUACAUACAACUUGGAACAACCAUAGAUGAUGCCAUUGGUGAAGCAUAUGACAAAACAGUAAAGUGGCUUGGUUUAGAUAUGAGGAGUGGUGG